UAAUAAAAUUUCUUCUCCACCAUACC
rnacentral:piRNA from 1 species